GUCCCAACGCCAAGCACCAGGAAACAGAGGGAGAGAGGAAAAGGAGAGGAGAGGAGAAGAAGAAGAGGAGAGGAGAAGAAGGAGGAGGACGCCCAGCCCUUGCUGGAGGAUGACACCAGUGAUGAGCUGCUGCUCCCCACGCCCUCAGCCUUGCCAAAGAUGGUGAAGACAGCCCCAAGCUUCAUCUUCUUCAAGCUUAAGCCAUGGAGGAGUCCCCAUCUCGAUCUCCUUCCUUGCUGUGUUCCUGGCUGAACUACUCCUACUGGAGCAUCCCAAGACCGUGGUGAGCACAUCCCAAAAGCCCAUCUCCAUCUUCCCCAUCUCCCCCUCCCUUUACUGCAGAAAGCAGCAACCCUGCUCCAGUGUCCAAUGGUCUUCCAUGAAGAUUGGUCUUCCCCACCUCUUCCUGCUUCCCUAGGGUUUGUGGGUGACCAUGAUUUUCUUGGGGAAGAAAUCAAGGCAACUUAGAAGAUGAAAUAGGUGUUUUCGUCAACUACAAAGUUGUAGAGGACCUUCAGAUCUACUAGCUCGUGAAAUAUCAUGAUUUUAUCCCAUCAGGUCUUGUCUAUGCUUUGGACAGAGAUGUCUUCAUGGGGUUAAUUGACCUUGUUAACUAUGAAAUCAUCUUAAGAUGAUAAUAAUAAAGUUGUAGGUACGCUAGAUGAACCACGUGAAGGGCAUGACGGUGGACCUAU